CAAUAGCGUAUAUUAAAGCUGUUGCGGUUAAAAAGCUCGUAGUUGGAUUUCUGUCAAGUACAACUGGUCCGCCUUCCGGGUGAGCACAUAGUUUGGUCUUGGCAUCUUGCUGGAAAUUGUUGCUGCACUUGGCUGUGUGGCGCAGUGUCCAGCACUUUCACUUUGAGGAAAUUGGAGUGUUUCAAGCAGGCAAUGCCUUUGAACACAGUAGCAUGGAAUAAUUAGAUUGGGCUUUUGCUCCAAUUUGUCGGUUUCUGGAGCUGAGGUGAGAAUUAAUGGGGAUUGUUGGGGGCAUCCGAAUUUAGCCGUCAGAGGUGAAAUUCUUGGAUCGGCUAAAGACGGACAACUGCGAAAGCGUUUGCCCAGGAUGUUUUCAUUG
rnacentral:rRNA from 1 species